rnacentral:rRNA from 1 species
AGUGAACGCUGGCGGUAGGCCUAACACAUGCAAGUCGAACGGCAGCACAGUAAGAGCUUGCUCUUACGGGUGGCGAGUGGCGGACGGGUGAGGAAUACAUCGGAAUCUACUUUUUCGUGGGGGAUAACGUAGGGAAACUUACGCUAAUACCGCAUACGACCUACGGGUGAAAGCAGGGGAUCUUCGGACCUUGCGCGAUUGAAUGAGCCGAUGUCGGAUUAGCUAGUUGGCGGGGUAAAGGCCCACCAAGGCGACGAUCCGUAGCUGGUCUGAGAGGAUGAUCAGCCACACUGGAACUGAGACACGGUCCAGACUCCUAGGGGAGGCAGCAGUGGGGAAUAUUGGACAAUGGGCGCAAGCCUGAUCCAGCCAUACCGCGUGGGUGAAGAAGGCCGUCGGGUUGUAAAGCCCUUUUGUUGGGAAAGAAAAGCAGCAGGUUAAUACCCCGCUGUUCUGACGGUACCCAAAGAAUAAGCACCGGCUAACUUCG